CACCAAAGAAGUCGAGAUUCGACAAGACCAGACAAAAUUGGUCAUCCUUAAAGUCUUUGCUCUAUUCUCGUUACACGACAAUGAACAAAGAGGGGCAGUUGUAGAAGCCCAAUUUCGUUCGGCCCAAUAAAAAAAUAAUAAAAGUCCAUUAAAUAGUCCGUAUUAUAAGCCCCAAUACAAAAAAAAUUAAAAGCCUAAAGCCCACUAUCUAAACCUAAACAGAAAAAAACCCUAAUCCCUUGAUACUUCACCAGCCGCCGCCCCUCCUCCACUUUGCCACGUCAGCGGGCACACCUCCCGAAGUCCCCAUGCCCUGAGGUCUGCCUUUUCUUCCACCAUUUCACCAAAAUGGAAAAGGGCGUGCCUUUCCACCGCCGUUGACUCAGCCUCUUGCCAUGAAAAACGUGUAAAAAAAGAGAAAAACAAAGAACAGAGAGCAGAGAACAGCAG
rnacentral:lncRNA from 1 species